rnacentral:rRNA from 1 species
AUUUGACCCUACUAGUAAUCAUAUGCUUGUCUCAAAGAUUAAGCCAUGCAUGUGUAAGUAUGAACUAAUUUAGACUAUGAAACUACAAAUGGCUCAUUAAAUGCAUUAUAGUUUGUUUGAUGGUAUCUACUACUUAGAUAAUGAUAGUAAUUCUAAAGCUAAUACUUACAACAAACCUCAACUUCUAAAAGGGAUGUAUUUAUUAGAUAAAAGGUCAAUGCAGGUUUUGCUUAUUGCUCUGAUGAUUCACGAUAACUUGACGAAUCAUACAACUUUUAUGUUGGCAAUGCAUCAUUCAAAUUUUUGCCCUAUUAGCUUUCGAUGGUAGGAUAAUGGCCUACUAUGAUGGUGACAAGUGACAAAGAGUUAGGGUUUGAUUACGGAGUAAGAGCCUGAGAAAUGGCUACCACAUCUAAGGAAGGUAGCAAGUGCACAAAUGACCCAAUCCUGACAUGAGGAGCUAGUGACAGUAAAUAAUAGUGUAUGGCUUUAUGAGUAUGGUAAUUGGAAUGAGUACAAUCUAAAUCCCCUAAAAAAGAUCCAUUGGAAGACAAGUCUAAUGCCAGUAGCUGCAGUAAUUCUAGCUCCAAUAGUUAUAUUUAAGUUGUUGUAGUUAAAAAGCUCGUAGUUAGAACUAAGGCUGGGUCAUUUAGUCCACCUCAUGGUGAGCACUGAUCUACUAGCUACAGUAAUUCUAGCUCCAAUAGUUAUAUUUAAGUUGUUGUAGUUAAAAAGCUCGUAGUUAGAACUAAGGUUGGGUCAUUUGGUCCACCUCAUAGUGAGCACUGAUCUACUUGUCCCUACUACCAAUGAUGCUUUCUUAGCUUUAAUUAGCUGGGUCAUUCCUCUGGCACUAUUACUUUAAAUAAAUUAGAGUGCUCAAAGUUGGCCUAUACUUGUAUACAUUAGCAUGGGAUAACAUCAUAGGAUUUUUAUCCUAAUGUGUUGGCCUUCAGGAUUAGAGUAAUGAUUAACAACGACAGUCAGAGGUAUUUGUAUUUCAUAGUCAAAGGUGAAAUUCUUGGAUUUACGAAAAAUGAUCAACUACAAAAGCAAUUGCCAAGGAUGUUUUCAUUAAUCAAGAACAAAAGGUAAGGGCUUGAAGAUGAUCAGAUACCAUCCUAGUCUUAACCAUAAACAAUGCUGAUUAGGGAUCAGUGGAUUAAGACUCUACCAGUGCAUUAUGAGAAAUCAAAGUCUUUGGGUUUCAAGAGGAGUAUGGUCGCAAGGCUGAAACUUAAAAGAAUUGAUGGAAGGACACCACUAGGAGUGGAGCCUACAUUUUAAUUUGACUCAACAUAGGGAAAUUUACUAAGUCUAGACAUAGUAAGGAUUAAUAGAAUGGGAGCUCUUUCUUAAUUUUAUGGGUGGUAGCACAUGGCUAUUCUUAGUUGGUGAAGCAAUUUGUCUAGUUAAUUUGAUUAAUGAAUAAGAUGUUAGCCUGCUAACUAACUACAUGGAGGUGAUCCUCCAUGGCUAGAUUCUUAGAAGACUUUGACCACUCAUGCCAAGGAAGUUUGAGGUAAUAACAAGUCUGUGAUGCCCAUAUAUGUUAUAGGUUGCUUGUGCACUAUAUUUACGUAUUCAAUGACUCUAUAGCCUUGGCCAAUAGGCCUAGGUAAUCUUUCAAAUUUCAUUGUGAUGGAGAUAGAUCAUUCUAGUUAUUAGUCACUUUAACCCUAGGCAAGCAUGAUGAUCACUUCAUUCCAUCUCUUGGGUAGGCAAUAUGAUCGGUACUACCACCCAUAAUCAAAUAACUUAUCCAUCGGUGUAAAUCAUGCUAAGGAAUCAGAAUGAAAAAAAGAGCAUGUGCCAUCACCAUCCCAUUCACUACGCAUGCAUCGAUGGCAUCGUGACUUCUU